CCCGCGGCGAGGCUCGUAGCCAAGGCGUGCGCCCCUGGAACCUGCACCUGCAGGAACGGACCCUCCACGCGCCGCACGACGGGGUCUGGGCAGCGCCGCCCGGGCGGGGCGGCGGCCCCGCGGUCGUGCGUGUCCCCCAGCCCGGGCGGGACGGGCGCCCCGCGGUCGUGCGUGUCCCCAGCCCGGGCGGGACGGCGGCCCCGCCUUCCUAGCGAGCCCGGGAGGAGGCGGGAGGGGCGGCCCCGGGAGCGGGCGCACAGCACGGCCCGGAGCGCGAGCGCCCCCGGCCCAGAGCACGACACGCGGAAGCAGGCCAGGGCCGGGGGCGGUGCACGCCGCCGCGGAGCCCCGCCCACGCCAGAACCUUCUGGAACCCGCGGCCGCGCCGCCCGCACCGCACCUGCUGUCAGGGACGUCGCGCUGCCAGCCCCGGGGGCUCAGCCCAGAACCCCGGGAACCUUCUGGAACGGAACUGCCGGGGCGGGGGGCGGGGGGGGGGCGGGGCGCCUGCCCGCGGACCCUUCUAAAGGCCUCGGCCCAGGGCGCGUGCGCGCAGCGGCGCGGCUGCGGACUCGAGCGGCCGGAGACCCCGAGGGGACGCGCCGCCGGGGGAGCGCAGUGUGGGCCUGCGCGUCGUCGCGCUCGCGGGUGGCGGCCGAGCCUCCGAAGGUUCUGGAAGGUUCCAGUCCCUGCAGGAAACGAUGCUCUUCUGGACCUUGCUCCUCGCCGUCGGGUUGCCCUUGGUCAGCAAUCAAAACGAAUCCGUGUCCGCUUGGACCUAUAGUUUGAAAUGCCACGAUUGCUGGGAUAUCAACAAUUUCAACUGUCCUCAAAAUAGGACGUGUCCCUAUCACAUCCGGCGCUGUUUGACCAUCUCUAUCCGUAAGUACUGCUUUCUCACGCCUUCUGAUUUGUCAGUUUGAGCCCCGGGAACCAACGGUUCUGUCUCUGCACCGGGCCUAGAGGCCUAGUGUGUGGCCCUGCUCCGGGCGUGUCCCCAGGCCCUGUGCCCCCAGCGUCCCUCCAACAUCAUCCCCUGCCCUUUGUGUCCCGAGCCUCCUGCAGAAAACGUCCUCUUGCUGCUCCCUCAGGGUUGUGCCAACUGCCUACCCCCGGCAUCUGCCCACUGGGGACUCAGGUAGGAGCUCGAAUCCGGCCUCUGUCCCNNNNNNNNNNNNNNNNNNNNNNNNNAGUAGAUAGCCUAAAUUCCUGCUAUUAUAAUACACUUUAAAAUGUUGAAUAAAAUAUAUUUUAAGUACGUUUCAACUCUAUGUGAUGUCAAUUUGAACAUAUCAGAGACAAAAUUAAGAAAAAAGGAAGAGAAAAAAGAAACUGGAUCAUGACAAUACAUAAUUAGCAAGUCCUGGAGCUGGCAUCUGCCCGCAGGAUACUUGCUUUUCUCUGGUCACCUAGAGUCAGUUGUGAGGGAGUGACUAAUGUACUGGGUCAGCAUUAGAUAGGACAUGAAAGUGAGAACCACAAGUGAGGAGCUUCAGAGGAGAGAGAGAGACCUCAAAUUCAACUAGAAUUAGAAACUAGAAAAACCUAGCUGCACACGGAAACAUGUCAGUACUAAGUCUGCAUUGAGAGAAACAUAUACAGAGACUUUCCUCUGAAAAUCGAAAGCCCUCAUGUAACUUUGGGGUUUGUGUUUCCAGUUCUGGUUUAUUCCGUGAAGUCCAAUACAAGAAAUAAGUAUGAAGUGGUAAGCCACCGUUGUUCUAGGUCUCUACUGUGUAAAAACAAAGGAAAAUCCUCUCUGAGGGAGUAUACUCGGUGAAAGUAAAUGAAGGACACCUCACUAAAAUCGUGUCAGGGAGGCCAGCAGGAGGCACUCUCACACCUGACUAGUCCAGAGGAAUUAAAAUUAUUACAGAUUCGAGAGGCAUCCUCAGGCGGAGAUAGUCCUGAGUUGCAGCCCCGGAGGGAAUGAUGGGGCUCCCCAAGAGAUCAACCGCACCCCUGCAGCUCUGCGCCAGAUCCCAGCGUCAGCCCAAAGCCCGGCUUUUCUCCAGUGGACUGUCCUUCAAAACCACCCUCCCAGCUUCUUCCUCCUUCACCCGGACAGAAAGUUCCUCCUCUGAGGUUGGGGGACCAGCCUGAGGUACAUGCUUGUCGUGGCUGCAGUUCUCCGAAUACACCCAUUUUGCCAGCAACAUCACUUUUAUUUUGAAGGUCAACAGCCCUCACCUCAGAAGUCAUAGAAUCUCUCCGGUAUCACAUCAUUAAUACCUGCUAAAAUAACAAAAUUUACAAAAGAAAUGUGUACAUAAUGUGAAAACUAGAAACAAUAUAAGUAGGGCACCCAACAUUGGAAAUAAUACAGAAUAUAAAACAGAUUUCCUUAAAGAUAUUUAAGAGCAUUUUAAAAAGAUCUAGGGAUCCCUGGGUGGCGCAGCGGUUUGGCGCCUGCCUUUGGCCCAGGGCGCGAUCCUGGACACCCGGGAUCGAAUCCCACGUCAGGCUCCCGGUGCAUGGAGCCUGCUUCUCCCUCUGCCUGUGUCUCUGCUUCUCUCUCUCUCUCUGUGACUAUCAUAAAUAAAAAAUAAAAAAAAAAUAAAAAGAUCUAAAAGAGCCUUCAAUGAAAAAAUAUUAGGUGGGCCUCACACACACAAGAAAGAAAUAAGGAAGGAAGGAUGGAAGGGAAGGAGGGAGAGGGGGAGGAAACCUAAAGAGAAAUUUCUAGAAAUGAGAACUAUAACCAGAGAAUAUAAAAACACGAGGGAUAACAACAGGUUACACAUCCAUGGAGAGUAAAACAGUGGAAUUUGACAUUAACAGAUUAUUACAAUGCAGCCUAGAAAUAAAAAAGAGAUCAAAGAUACGCAGAACAGCCUAGAAGAGCCGGAAGAGGAGAUAGUCUGAGGCAGGAGGCGGGACCCCAGAAAGGAUCGGAGAGAAUGGAACCCAGGCCAUAUUAAAAGAGCAAUGGGUGAGUUUUCCAAAUUGAUGUAAGACAGAAAUGCUCAGAACGAGCAAUCACAACUGAUCUGCGCUGAGACACAUUUAGGGUAGAGCUUCAGGAUUUCAAAGCCCAGGGGAAGUAGUAGAGGCUGCCUGGGAGAAAAGAUCUAGGACAGAUGAGCAGUUACACUUUGCGUAGCUCCCAGCUUCAGUAUGGAAGUCGGAAUAUGAGGCAUUCUUCCCUCCAAAGUGCUGAGGGAAAAUAACCAAAAAUUAGCCUGGAAUUGAAUACUUAAAAAGUAUUUUCUGAUUAAAAAAUAAAUAAACCAACAAACCUCAAAUGGUUCACCAUUGAUCCUUACUAAAGAAACACCAAAUAGGGAUCCCUGGGUGGCACAGCGGUUUAGCGCCUGCCUUUGGCCCAGGGCGCGAUCCUGGAGACCCGGGAUCGAAUCCCACAUCAGGCUCCUGGUGCAUGGAGCCUGCUUCUCCCUCUGCCUGUGUCUCUGCCUCUCUCUCUCUCUCUCUGUGACUAUCAUAAAAAAAAAAAAAAAAAAGAAACACCAAAUAAACAUUCUUUAAGGGGAGUGACAAUAAUCCCAGAGGGACAGAAUCACGAAGAGUGAUGUUAAUAUGUGGUGUGUAUGGGCUGAGCUAUGGUGCCUGGAAAUUCCUUCGUUGACAUCCUAAUGUCAAGUGUGACUGGAUUAAGGAAUUAAGGUUGCCCGAGGCCCUAAGGUGAUGCCCUGAGCCAAAGGAAUCCGUAUCCUUGAAGGGGAGACACCAGAGAGUGGUGUCCCCGCCCCAGGGAGAAGGGGGCACAGGCCAGGAAGCAGGUCCUCGCCAGGACCCGAAGCAGCUGGCAUCUAGACUCGACCCGCCGGCCUCCAGGCCUGGGGGGAAGCUGUCGUUCAGCCCACUUGGGCCUCAUUUUGUGGCAGGAACAAGAGGGGCCCAACGUGCAGAGAAAUCAAGGCAAACCUCAGGGGCAGCGGCACAACCGUCGUUCCUUACCGGGAAGUCAAAGACGGCACCCCAGGCGGGAGGGGGUUGAGGAAGACCAAAGGCGUCCUGGUUUUCCCAUGGCUUACAAAGUGGUUCGAGAUCUGGAUAGGAUACAAGAGAAUUUCACACAACUUCCACGAAAGACUCUUCCUCUCUCCCAACAGUGAAUAUGUAAAAAACGAUUUUUGGCUCUCAGGUCCUAUAAAAACAAGUUGCUAGACUGGCCUUCAGGCUGCCAGCCCUGCAGGAAGGGAACACGAUUAGCCCAUUAGCCCAGUGGCUUCACUCCUGGUGCUGACUUAGAGUGAGCAAGUCCGGAUUCAUAAAAAUUAAAGCCCCACGGAACGUGCAA
rnacentral:lncRNA from 1 species